UGGGAAUUUUUUGUGAGCAAAAUGUGCAGGCUGUAAGUAGGAUUCUUUCCCUUUCUCUUGGUCUCCUGGGGGGGUGUGAGUCCUGGGGUCCCCUGCACAGCCUUAGCUCUCUGGAAAUCGACCUGGCCCGUCUUCUCCAGAGAGCUCAGCUCCUCCACACUCUCUCCCUGCCUUCCCCUUUUCUCUCCCCUCUCAUCAUUUACAUUUACUAGGACAUUCCUAGCCCACUUUCCUCCCAGGAGCUCCAGGUGGCCUUCAUGGUUCUCCCGGCCACCAAUUGUUAUCUUCACAGCAGCCCUGCCAAGUAGGCUAGGCUGGCCCAAGGUCCACCAGGGAGCUUCAUGGCUGAGUGGGGAUUUGAACCCAGCUCUCCUAGUUCAGCCCCCCAACUGCUACACCUCUGCCUGGCUCCAUUUUGCAUCUCUCCAGCUGCCCUUCUCCCCCUUCCUGGGGGUCUCUCUGGCUCCAAGGAAGACUCCACCACCUUCCUCAUGUCCUGCUCCUCUUCUGGGACCCCUUGGGGCUUGGAGGACCCUCCUAGGGGUCUCCUCCCUCUCUAGGAAGGGCAGGGCUGUCCUAAGAAGAGGAGGCAGAGAGCAGCCCUUUAACAGCUGGCAAUGCUUCUCUUUCCUUUGGGCUGGAGCUCUUGAACCCAGAGCACUUGGGACCUCCUUUCUCCCUCUGCCCGCCCUUCGUGCUCUGGGCUGCCUCUUUCCAGCUCUAGUGAUACCCUUUCAGGUCACUGAACUGGAGAGAGAUGGAAGGAAUUGGGCAAGACUGCCUUCCUCACACACAAACGCCCCCCAAGAAUUGGGGCUGCCGGCUUCUGAGUCGCUCUCGCCGCUCAUCUCUUCUAGGUUCAGGUGCUUAAGGCACCUCUUCAGACGCUGCAACAGGGCUGCCCCCCAGCAAGGCCCAGAGCAGCCCAUGGUGCCAGGUGACCAAGUGGCCCUCCUUUGGGGGACAGAGGAGGGCAGGAGUGGGCAUGGGGGGCAGCUAGUCAAAAGAUGCAAAGAGCCAGACGGCUGGAUCCGACCCAAGGUCCAUCUGGGCCAGCGUCUGGAAACCCACCCAUCCCCAGUGGCCAACCCGUUUUGUGGAGUCUGAUGGAGGAAGCAGGGGGCUGGGCUGGGGGGCAGUUGUCAGCGGGAGGGGCACCUUCCCUGAGGAGCCACGUUCUGGGGGAAGGAGGCCGGGAUUGGCCUCCAAGGCCUGGGGUGUCCCUCCCCUGUAGUAGGACUUGGAAUCCAGGGGAAAACUCUUGGAAUAGCCUUGCCAGAGGCUCAGGGACGAACUCACCUCUUCCCAUGUCCUUCUCUUUGCAGUUCUGCUGAGGUUCCACAUCCCUGCCCCAGGGGUGAGUCCUGGAGAAAACAAGAGCAGGGAGUGGACCCCUCAGACCUGCCCCCCACUGUCCGGGCUCUUUGCCCCCCACUUUUGCCUUUCAGCUGCUGGAGGAAGAUCAGUUGUUCCUCCUUGAGAUCAUCCAGAACUGCCCGGCAGCUCGGCUCAGGGGGCUCUGAACCCUGAAGUGCUCCAAGUCCCUUACCUUGGGAAAAAAAAUUAUUUUAAAAACACAUAUUUUUGCCAUUUUGUCACCCCCCUCAGUGAUGACACCCGGGGCAGCCCGCACCCAGCACCCGCCCCUUCCUUCUCCUGUGGCCCUUCGGCCGUAGGACUUUCCAGGGGUUGGGACCGUCAGCCCUCCUAAGCCGAGUGGCCAGUCGUGCCCCCCAAUGGUCGGGGUUUUGCAGGCAGGAGCCCUCUGAAUACCAGAAGCCGAGGUUUGCUCAUACGAAGUGGAUCAAAACAAAACCACUUUUAAAAAGGUUUGGAAACUUUUGAGGAAAUGCAACAGAAAGUGUGGGAUGAACAUAUGACUGUGAAAACAUCCCGCAAGCAAAUCAGGAAGAAUGGGAGAUGAUGAUGUUGUUUGCUUUAUAUCCCAGCUUUUCCUCCAAGGAACUGAAGGUGGCAGCCCUGCUUCUCACUCUCCUGGUUUAAUCCCUUCAACAAGCCAGCCAGGGAGGCUGUGCUGAGAGGCAGCGACUGGCUCCCCAGGGAGCUCCGUGAUGCCCAAGUGGGGGGAUUUGAACCCUGGUCCAAUGACAAAACCUAGACAGCAUCUUCAAAAGCAGAGACAUCACCUUGCCAACAAAGGUCUGUAUAGUUAAAGCUCUGGUUUUCCCAGUAGUGAUGUAUGGAAGUGAGAGCUGGACCAUAAAGAAGGCCGAUCGCCGAAGAAUUGAUGCUAUCAGCCCUGAGUGCUCACUGGAAGGACAGAUCCUGAAGCUGAGGCUCCAAUUCUUUGGCCACCUCAUGAGAAGAGAAGACUCCCUGGAAAAGACCCUGAUGUUGGGAAAGAUGGAGGGCACAAGGAGAAGGGGAGGACGGAGGACGAGAUGGUGGGACAGUGUUCUCGAAGGCACCAGCAUGAGUCUGACCAAACUGCAGGAGGCAGUGGAAGACAGGAGGGCCUGGUGUGGGGUCACGAAGAGUCAGACAUGGCUAAAUGACUAAACAACAACAACAACAACAGCGAACCCUGGUCUCCCAGGUCCACGCUCUAACCAUCCCCCCCUUGCUCUCGGAACAUUUAGAGGCAAAGCACUGAGGGACGAAAGCUCCUUGUCGUUCAACUUCCCCACCAACAAACCAGAACGAAUGCUCAGUAAAGACUGGCUGUAACCUCAGCUCCAUGUAAGCAACCUGCAGCAAAUCAGGUUGCAUGAUCAACAAGCAGGUUGUCCGGAGGGGGCACAUGAAGCCCCCUCCUCCAAGGCAAGGCCUGUCCAGACCCCUUCAGAUCCCCUUCACUCUCAGAGCACAGGUCAGGGGCAAGAGAGAAUGUGCUACCUGAUUCCCCCCCCCAACGCACAAGAAGGUGUGUCCUUAUCUGAAGCAAAUCACUGCAGGUGCUUCCCAUACGACACCCCCAGGUAUAGAGUCAUGCCUCUUUUUUGGACCGCCCCCCCUGCAAUAUUCUUCAAGGUCUGGUCCCAUGAGUAAAAGUCUCCCUGAUGACCUCUAUGAUCUUGCAGAUCUAGAAGCAGGCAGGGCAGUUUCCUCUGCCCAGGCCAAUGGCUCAUCUUGUCCAGAAUCCUGUUCUCGCUGUGGCCAAGCAGAUAUAAGCAGGAUUCAAGCCAAGAGCAAUACCCGCCCCUCCUGUGGCUUCCAGCAACUGGUCUUCAGAGGCGUUGCUGUCGCAUGGACCAGUGGUACCAAAUAGCAUGGGAAACAGCCCUACUAGAAAAAUUAACCAAUAAACUGAAACUGGGACAAAUAGAAGAAGACACCUUCACCCCGGUAUGGCUCCCCUUUAUCACAUACACAGCCCAACAAGACAAUGACAAAAAUCCACCAAUGGCAUACAAAUCAAUAUGGCUAACCUGACCCAAAACACCCACCCACCCCACUCACACACGAAAACAAAGACCACCACAGCCAACCACACCCUGGGCCAACCCCAACCUCUCUCACCACCAAAGGAACACAAGCGAACAGCAAAGAACCUGCACAAGUAACGCUGACACCAAACCGUACAUAUAUUAAGUAAAAUAGAAACAUCGCCACCUGACCCCACCCCCACUCACCUUCCCCCCUCCACCUCUUUCCCCCUUUUCUUCCUAAUGUCUCAAUCGAUGAAACUGAUUUGUAAAAAUGUUACAUGGGGGGGUGGGGGGGAUACAAGAGAGAGACAUUGCACACACUUUUGUAAAGCAAGAAAAUCUUUAAUUAAGAAGAAGAAGAAGAAGAAGAAGAAGAAGAAGAAUUGCUGUCUCCAGCUGUGGGGGCAGAGCAUUCUGGCUAGUGGCCACCGAGAGCUGCUCUCCUCCUCCAUGAACUUGUUUCAUCCUCUCUUUGAGCCAUCCAAGUUGGUGGCCAUUCCUGCCUCCUGUGGCAGGGAGUUCCACAGCUCAGCUAUGUCCUGCAUGAAGAAGGACCUUCAUUUGCCCUGAAUCUCCCAGCAUUCAGCUUCAUGGGACGUCCACGGGUUCUAGCGCUAGCAAAGAGGGAGAAAAACUUCCCUGUCCGCUGUCUCCAUGCCAGGCAACCCAGUCAGAUGGGCAGGGCACAAAUAAUAAAUUAUUAUCAUUAUAAACUUUGCACGUCACCUCUCACUUGCCUUUCGCCUAAACAAAAAAGCCUCAGACACUGCCCC